GCCUGAGUUAGCAUUCCCGACAUUUCCUCAGCCCUCUUUGGCACAUGAGAAAUCCCAGAGAUGGCUACAGGCCCUGGGUGAACGCAGAUGUUGGCAAGACACUAGCUGAAGAGCUCACCCUGGAGUGUAAAUGAUCUGAGAGUCGAGACAAUGAUUGGGCCACCUGAAUGGGAGACCAAACAGGGUUCAUGGCCAUGUCUCGGUGUGGGGCGGGGGGGUCUUCAGCAGCAGCCUGAGUCAGCAGGGAGGAUCACAGAACCCUGGGAGAGGGCACAGCAAGAUCCCUUAACUACUGACUUCGGCACUGGCCACCGCUAGGAGUAUCUACUGCCGUGGAGACCGGAAGGGCCCAGAGAGGGGACCGGUGACACCAGAGGGACGCCCAGCCACACUGGCCUGAAGGAUGAGGCACUCCCACUGCUUACCCAGAGGCCGUCCUGGAGAGGAUCAAGGGAGGGAGAGCGGAAUGGAAAGAGUAACUAUCUAAAGCAAAAAAAGACUCAAUUGCCCAAACGGAUUGUUGAAAGCAUUGGAGUGGACCAAGCUGACCGGAUCAGAACCAGGUUCGAUACUUACUCCCAGGGCUUCCCGUGUGCACGCGUGCUCCCGCGGACACGUACACACCUACAAAGGCACGCCGGGCUCUUGAGAAAGCUCAAAUGUGCUAUAGAAAGUUUCUUUGCACGUCGCGUGGAGCAAUCUUUAAAGUCCUCGCGGGUGCCGGCGGGGCAGGGAAUUAGGCUUCGGUCUCUCCGAGGGACCCAACUGCGCAUACGGGGUCUCCCGCCCGGUACAGCCUUCCGUGCUCGGGCCAGGCUCAUUGGGCCUGGAAAGGCCACAUCAGCUGCACAACCCACCUCCGAGGGUCUGGUUGGCCCUGGGAGGCAGAAGUCAGGAAUCUUCACACACUCAGCAAGAUCUGUGAAGCAAGAGGGGGUGCGUGGGAAGGUGGGGGGGUGGUCGUAGCAUUUGCCCCUUUCAUCUCCUUGGGCAGUCCCAAUGUCCCUGCCCCCCAUCUCGGCUGUAUCAAGGCUAUGUGCGUCCCCCUGUCUUUCCUGGCCUCCUCUGGGAUGCCUCCUCUGCCAUGACAGUUGCUGAGGGUUCCCCAGGGCAGGUAGAAGCAUGAUUUGCUUUUCAAGCUCUACCCACUUAUUGAUCUCCUGUCUGAGAAAUGUCAGCAGCAGCCAGGAGCUCUCCCUGCUAAGGCACUUAGCUUGGAAGCCUGUGGUAUCUGCCUGCAUAAACCCUCCCGCCUCCUGCCUCUCUGGCUUUAGAACUAUCCCCACCCCCACCUUGGGAAAAGUCUUCUAAGAUGAGAUGGCAAGAAUCAAACAGAGACGUGCUUUGAACACUGGGACGGGAACCAGAUUUAAAUUGGGCAAAAGCCGGGAGCUCAGAGCGGGUGCAAUUCCGUUCCUGCCAUCCCUCCCCCUCUCUGCAUCUGGUUGCCGGGAGCAGGGUUGGAAGGGCUUAUCCAUCUAUGCAUUCACUUGAUAAAGAAGGAUUUAUGGAAUGUUUUCUACGAUGCUGGGACUACGAAUAACCUGUACCGGCCACCAUUUUAAGGACUUCGCACAUACUGACUCCUUUAAUCCACAUGUUAACCCUGCGAGAUAAGAAAAUUAGGCACAGAGCACUAUGGCAGCGUGCCCAGUAUCCCAGAUGAUGUUGGUGGCAGUUUCGGUUUCUGUCUCCUGCUCAGACCAGGCAUGGAAGGUGUUCGGGGCCAGUGGCCACCUUCUGCUUCUUCAGUGUCCCUUACUGAUCUUGUCUAUCUAGACAGCCCAGAGGCUUUCCGUCACGAACCAGGCCAGCUGUGCAGUGGCCAGAGUGGCGGGGCAGGGAGUCCAUGCCCUCAAGUGUUCUGCUUCUCAAGGAGUCCCCUUGACUGCCUCCUCGUAAGCUCAGGACUUCCUGUGGCCCAGGCAAGGAAGGAGGACGCAACAGCAGGAGCACCCAAGGCAGCUGCUGGGAAACAUAGCUGGGGGUAUGCACCUACUGUUAUUUCAAUUCUUAGGCUAAAGAGCUCAGCUGUGUCCCCUCCAAAUUCAUACAUUGGAGCCCUGAUUCCCAGCACCCCAGAAUGUGACAUUUGGAGACAGAGUCUUUACUGAGGUGAUGAAGUUAACGUGAGGUCGUCUGGGUGGGUUCUAGUCCUGUAGGACUGGUGUCCUUAUAAGAAGAGGAAGUUGGGCAACAGAUCCACGGAGGGAAGAUCGUGUGAGGACACAGAGAGAAGACGGCCAUCUAAGAGCCAAGGGGAAAGGCCUGGAACAGAUCCCUCUCUCAUGGCCCUCCCACCCUCAGAAGGAACCAACCCUGGGGACAUUUUGAUCUCCGACUUCCAGCCUCCAGAACCACGAGGCGGGACAUUCCUGUUGUGGAUGCCACCUUCUGUGGUCCAUCGUUACAGCAGCCAGAGCCAACUAAUAGACGAGCCACCCUGUGUUUCUUAGGGUGCAAGCCAAGGCGUGACAAGUGUGGUACCCCCACCCCCUCAGUCCUGCCCCCAUUUAGGGGCAGCCCCAGGAAGAGCAGGGGCUGUGGGGAGUAGAGAGGCCCAAGCUGAGCACUUCCAACAGCCCCUGCUCCCAGCUUCCCUCCUAUCUCGCCCACUGCCUCCCUGAGCCAGUCGCCAGGGGCUACGGGAGACCUUUCCAGGCCCUUCUGCACUGCCUGGAGGAGACGUCACCAUUGUUCCUCUGGCAUCUGAAGGCUGCUGCGAGCAGGGGACAGGGGAGGAGCUGGCCCAGAGGGCCAGCCUUCUCCCCAGGACUCCGGAGCCAGGUUCCCCUGGGGUGGCCCCUGGAGCCUCCCCCACCAUCCUCACUGGGGAGCUAGAAGAAGCCUUAGUCUGUGGGUGCACCUGCUUAGCCCUCCUGGAGGGGAGCUGGGGGCGGUUUUCAGCACUCGCACCCUUUCCUCUCUUCCUGUCUGUCUUUUUUUUCUAAAUAAGAGAAGGCAGUUCCUUCGGCACCAGGAGCGAAAGAGAGGGAGGGAGCCGAGCAAUGAAAGGCUCCGAGAGUGUUACACAUAACAGUGGGCGUAUUUUAUGGAAAGCAGCCGACAAUCAGUGUUUGCAGACGCCUUUUAUUUUAUAUUAUUUCCUCAUCUGUUCAGCUUUCUUGGGCGGGAGCCAGAAAGUUAAUAUUCUCAGUCAAAGUCGGUCUUUUAUCUGUCAGGUUCAAAAUGAAACCAAGCCGCUGGGGUUUUAAAGCGUCUCAGCCAAAAGGCAAACACACCUUCUCAGCAGCUCAGGCCCAGGGGCUGUCACUUGGGCUGCCACCCUUGCCAGCAGCUCCCGCGGAGGCCCUAUUACUGGGGCUUUUGACUGGGGCGGGGUGGGAGGUGAGGACCUGUGACUCCCUCCCCAGGACGUGGGUCACCCCUGGGCUCCUGGCCUGCCUGCGGCCUUCUGGCGUCAUUAGCACCUGAGCAUGGUGCCAUCAGUCGGUGCCCGAGGCACCUCACCAGGCCUGCAGGCUCGAGGGCAGUUCAGCCAGUUAAAGGGGCAGAGGAGACGAAAGGUCAGGAGCGGUGGUUAGCCCCUGCCUGAGCCUACUUGGGCUCCCGCAAGGGCUGUCCAGGAGAAGUGGUCUGAGCAAAGCCGUGGUGCCUUCAAAACAUGCCAUCAAGUUCUGUGAUGGGCCCCCAUGACGAGGUAGGAGCCCAGCCCUCCACCCUGCAAAUGUGGGCCGGCUUUCGGGACUCACUUCGAGCAAAUAAUUACAAGAAUAACAAAAAGUGAUGCUGUGUGAUUUCCGAGGCAAGAUGAUAAAAGCCGAUACACCUUCCAUCUGGCCCUCGCUCACGGGACGGCCACUCGGGAGCCCCAAGCUGCCAUGGAAGCAAUCCGGCUGUUCCGAGGCUGCCACGCUGGACAGACGACAUGGGCAGCCCACACAGAGAGACCCGGAGCCCAGCUGUGCUGCCCCGAGUUGUCGGGAGUCCUCCCAGCCCACGCACCAGAGAGAAGAAGGCUUUGAGAUGUCCCCACCUCCGGCCAUGUGACUGCAACCACAGGAGCAGUCCCAGUGGGGAGCUGCCUUGCUGAGCCCUGUCACCCCACAACGAUCGAUCGAAGCUGGGUUACACCUCUAGGUUCGGGAUGUUCUGUUACACAGCAAUAGAUGUCCAGCGCACUGGCUUUCUCCCUUCUGAUUUUGUCUCCUCCCAAGCAAGGCUGGAAGGUGGGGUCCUUUCCAUUGUACGAAUCCAUCCCGGGCGGGACAGGCAUAGUGCAGGAAUGGGUCCCUGACCUGGGGCCUAAGGGCCUGAAUUUCGGUUCUGAUUCUUCCCGACAUACCACCUUGGUCCACUCUCUGGGGGUCCACUAUGCUCCUGGACCUCAGUGUCCAUGUCUAAUAAAAUGGAGCUGACAGAUAAGAAGAGCUUCAUGGAGCUGUUUGAGAAGGGUCCAUUGAGGCUGUGGACGUAACAAUGGGACGUCUAAAGGCCUUGAGAUGUGUUUCCACAAAUGCCUCAUACCUCCCCGUGGCAAGUGUAUGCAGAAGGAUACAUGCAACACAACCUAAACUGAGUCUGACGCACCUGGCACACUGAGGGGAAAGGGACCCUUUGUAAAAUAUAAGAACUAUUUUGAAGCUCCUUCUUCUUUGUACGUUCUCUCAUAGUGUCAUGGGGGCAACCAACGAAGCCAUUCAGGGAAGCCCAUGGCUUUUGCGGCCGUCUCUGUUACGUGCCAAUCAAAGUGAGGGCCUCUGCAAUCAAUCUGGGGCCUCCCCUGGGUUUGGAGGCCCCCUAAAAUGAGGUGGGGCACCCCUGGAUCUACGGCUCCAGGAGCUGCUACCCCCCACCCUGUGCCCAUUAUCAAUUACACCCCACCCAACCCCAGACCCAGCUGGACUCAAUAGCAUUUUCAGAAACCAACUGAAAUUGGAAAUAAGCACUGCAGGGGGGGCUGGGGAGGGAGAAUUUGGCCUCAUGCUACAUUGCCCCCACAUUUAGCUUGGACCCAGACUUCUGCUCGUCCCCCCUGAGUGUUCCACCCUGGGCACCAACCCCUUGGCACUUCUGCGGGCCUCUCCC